AAAUUGGUCAACUAUGACUGUCAACAGCUGCGACAGCCAAACAUGGUUGUACACUUGGUCCGGUCUAGUAAAGUCAUAUUUGGCAAUCGCGUAAUUU